AUGGAUAUCAACAGAGCUCCAGGGCCUGAUAAUAUUCCUGCUGAAUUUUAUCAGUGCUGCUGGGAUAUAGUCAAAAGUGAUAUCAUGAGACUCAUUGACAGCUUCCACAAAGGUAUGCUAGAUGUGCAACGCCUUAACUAUGGUAACAUCACCUUACUACCUAAAAUCUCGGGGGCUGACCGUAUACAACAAUUUCGUCUGAUCUGUUUGCUUCGUUGCCCCUACAAGUUGAUUACGAAGGUCAUGGAUAGGAGAGUGUCUAAGUACGCUGAUAUUCUCUUAUUAGCCCCACUCAGAAUGCAUUUGUGA
rnacentral:rRNA from 1 species